rnacentral:tRNA from 3 species
GCGAACUUGGCGGAAUGGUAGACGCACGAGACUUAAAAUCUCGAGUCCGUAAGGGCGUGCGGGUUCGAGUCCCGCAGUUCGCACCA